GACGAACGCUGGCGGCGUGCCUAACACAUGCAAGUCGAACGGAGUGUUACGCUGAAUUGAUGGUAGCUUGCUACUGGAUUUUCUUGUAACACUUAGUGGCGGACGGGUGAGUAACGCGUGAGCAACCUGCCUUACAGAGGGGGACAACAGUUGGAAACGACUGCUAAUACCGCAUAACGUAGCUUUGGGACAUCCCUUAGUUACCAAAGGAGCAAUCCGCUGUAAGAUGGGCUCGCGUCCGAUUAGAUAGUUGGUGGGGUAAAAGGCCUACCAAGUCGACGAUCGGUAGCCGGACUGAGAGGUUGAACGGCCACAUUGGGACUGAGACACGGCCCAGACUCCUACGGAGGCAGCAGUGGGGGAUAUUGCACAAUGGAGGAAACUCUGAUGCAGCAACGCCGCGUGAGGGAGAAGGUUUUUCGGAGUUGUAAACC
rnacentral:rRNA from 1 species